rnacentral:lncRNA from 1 species
GUAAGUUUUUCAUAAUUUUAAUACAAAUGAUGUUUCUGCAGGUGCCAUUUUAGUAUCAAGGCACUCGUAGGGUGUUUUUUUAAAUGAGUACAGGCAAUCAUCUGUAGCGUCAUCCUAAGGUACCUGUCCAGUUGUGGGUAUUUAGUACUGAGUAAGGGUUUCAUGCCCAGGCUGAGUUGAAUUCAAGCAUGAGUCACUGUUACCUGGUUCUUUAUUUUAUGAGGAAUCACAGAUUUUUUUUUUAUUACCUUUUAAUUUUUUGUUUGAGCUUGUAUGUAUGUUGGUGCAGGCUACAGUCUGUUUGUUUGUGGAGGGCAGACUUUGACUCUUAGUGAGACUGGGUCUCACUGCGUAACACUGUAUAGCCUAGAACUUGUCAUGUAGACCAGGCUGCCAGUUCCAAAGAGGAUUACGAUUAACUAAGGAGUGAUACUCAGCCUAAAAAUGUGGGCAGCGUGGAAAAGGAGUCCAAGGAGAAUGCUAGUACGGGGAGGCGUCCCCUUCCCUGUUUCCUGCACUCAUGAGGUGAAGUUCUGUGUUCUACUAUGACCUCCUUACACCAGUGAUCAGAGCUUGCUCCUCCUCUGUUCACUUCUUAAAGUAUAGUCAUGGCCACUAAUAUAAAUUAUAAUACAUAAUGUGAAAAUAUGAUACAAAUUGUCUUAAACAUUGUCCUUAUUACUGCUGUUUUGAGACAAGGUCUCACCAUAGCUCUUGCUACCCUGGAACUCACAGUAUAUAUAUACCAAACCAGCCUUGAACUCACAGAGCCUGUCUCUAAGUGCUGAGAUUAAAGGCAUGAGCCACUUCAUACAGCCUCUAGAGGAUAACUUUUGGGAGUUGGUUCUCCUUCUAGAAUGUAUAUCCAGGUGAUUGAAGUCAGGUUGGCAAAUUGGAGGGCAGGUACCUCUACCUCCUUAGUUGUUUCCCAUGGCCACUUGAAACGGUAUGUUGACCAUUGCUGCCUUAAAUCAAUUCCCUUCCUCUUUUCUUCCAACUUCUUCCAUACUCUUUCGGUAUAUUUAUGUUGGUUUUAUUCCUUAUAGGAAAUUUAGUACUUUACCUUAGAACUAGUAGCCUCAUGAAUGACCUACUUACAAACCUCAUAAACUCUCAUUCAUGUGUGUGUAUUAAAUACAUGUAAAUAUGUAUGCAUACAUCAUCUUGAAAAGGCAUUUUGCUGGUUGAUUGAGACAUAAGUUUUUCUUUUUUUGGUUUGUUUUGUUUUUAAAAUUUUAUUUAAUGUGUAUGAAUACACUGUAGCUGUCUUCAGACACACCGGCAGAGGGCAUUAGAUCUUAUUACAGAUGAUUAUGAGCCACCAUGUGGUUGCUGGGAAUUGAACUCAGGACCUCUGAGAGAGCAGUCAGUGCUCUUAACUGUUGAGCCAUCUCUCCAGCCCUGAGAGGUAAGUUUUUAAUAGACUGCUCAGGCUAGACUGGUCUGGAAGUUCCUCCUGAGUUAAUGAAAGCAGAUUUUUCAUCUCUAACUUUUCCUUAAUCUCAGUAUGUGUCUUCUCACUGCACUCUCACUGCACUUCCUAGUUACAGAAAAGUGACCCAGUGAAUGGUCUGACUUUUGGGAUUUUUGUUGUUUGAGUUUGCUACUAUGUAGCUGAGGAUCACCUUGAACUGAUCCUUCUGCCUUUACUUCCCAAUUGCUGGGUUUGUAGGUGUAUACUAACCUCUGUGCUUGGCUCUGAGUUAUUCCUGAUAACAUGCUUCAUUUAUUAUUAUUAUUAUUAUUAUUAUUAUUAUUAUUAUUGUGGUUGUAUGAGUUUGUUGCUGCUCAUGAAACAUAGAAAAUACAUUUUAGUAUGAUAGGUGAGCUGUUCUUAUUGAGCUCUUAUUCUUAGUGGGAAGACUCAAUUAAAUUAAAAAAUUUAAUUAAAUGAAAAAAUUUGUAUUUUGCAUAGACUAUGAAGAGGAAGUGACUAAAUAGCCACUUUGGAUAGGGAAGUCAAGAGUCUAACAUUGAAUCUGGGACUUAAUUGAUCAGAAGGAACAAACUUUGUCAGCACUAUAAAACUGGGAGUGUAUGUAGCUCCGUGGUAGGACAUGUGUUUCUUCUGUAAGAGGCCCUGCCUGUUUCAGUCCCCAGCACCACUAAGAACCUGGGAAGAAAGGAUGCGUCUAGUGUAAGGGGUUUUAGUUUCUAAAUAUAAUGCUUUGACUGGAAGCUUUGAUAACUGAAGAUAAGGUAUUUGGAUAUUUUUUGGCUGUAUUUCAGGUAGCUGAAAGGAAAAAGUGGACAUAAUGGACUUGAGGCAAGGGAGUGCUUACAAAAAAUGAAUAGUAAUUGAUUUAUUUUAGAUAUUAUUACCAAGUAACAUUGGAAGUUUCUGUACCUUAAAAUUUGAAUGGUUUGUUUUUCUAGUUCAUAAUCACCAGAAAAUUUAGCUUACACCAUCAGACUGGGGAUAAUAGUGCUCUCUGACAACGCAUUAAACAAUGUAGUGAAUUGAACAUUAUAGCACAUUAUAAGCUCUUUUAAAAAAGUGUGUGUGUUUUAUGGGAUCAUAAUAAAAUUAUAUUAUUUUUUCCUUAUCAUCCCAUAUAAACAGUCUUCUUUUUCAAAUCAAGUAAGUAAGCUCUUAGUAAAAACUAAUGACUGCCUGGCAUAGUAGCAGAGGCAGGCUCAUCUCUGAGUUUGAGACCAGUCUUGUCUACAUAGUGAGUUUCAGGCUAGCCAGGGCUACAGCAGAAUGAGACCCUGUUUCAACUCCCCACCC